AUUCAAUGUGAUUGGGGUCAUAAGAGAAGAAACAGACACAGAGAGAGCAAUGUGGCCGCAGAGGCAGACAUUGCAGCCCUAGGCCUACAAACCUAGGAACACAGGGAUUGCCAGCAACUAGAGAAGAGAAGAGAAAGGCACAGACAGCUGUCCCCUGCAGCCUCCGAGAAAGCAAGGCCCUACCCACCCCCACCCCCCUGACUGUAGAUGUUCUAGAAAUGUGAACCACUAGGCUUCUGUUGUGUUAAGCCACUUAGUUUGCUAUAGUUCCUGACAGCAGCCCCAGCAAACCAACACAAGGACUAACUAGCAAUGGGGGUUGGUAAGCCAAGUUCAAUUCACAGGGUGGAAGGAAAGGCAGUCACAUUUCCACGCUCCUCCUCAUCUUGCUUUAAAUUCCAUCUUUGAACUUGUGUUUUGCUUACCAGGGUAACCUCCCCUGCCACCUUUGGACCUGCCUGACCCCCACCACAGUGUGCGAGUGUCAACUGCAUUGUGUGCGUCGAUCACAGCAAGUGUCAGGAGGCGCCCGGUAAGCCAGCUGAACCUGGCUCAAGUGAGAAUUGACACCAACCGAGGACACAGAUACAACUGACAGUGCAAGAUGUGACUGUGCAGUAAGAAAUGACUCAGGCCAGGGUCUCACCAGGAAGGGAAUUGCUGAAUUACUCUGUGCAGUUACAGUAUUUUCUCAUAUGAACGUCUCUCAUCAGGGUCAAUCUGUCUGGAUGGUUGAAGGGCUCCCGGAGAUUCCUCCUUGAUUAACUCACCUUCGUUGCUUGUAUGUGGCUGAGAUGCCAUCUUGCAUCCUCAUUCCUUGGGUUCCCAAAGUCCUUUGUCAGUUUUUCAACUACAGCACAGACAUCGCCUGAGAAGGUUCACGGUUUACACUCUUAGCAGCAGCCAGCAGUUGUUUACUGUGUGGUUCCAGCCUGGGACCUACAGGGUACACUGAGCAUGUCACAGGGAAGGCCAGGGAUGUGGCCUAGGACCAGGUCAUCAUAAUCAUCUCUUUUAGCCAGCUUUUUUUCUGCUGUGACCAAAAGACCUGACAAGAACAAUUUUAGAAGAGGAAAAGUUUAUCCGGGGCUCAUGGUUCCAAAGGUUUCUGUCCACAGAAGGCCGGCUCCAUUCCUCAAGGCCUGAGGCAAGGCAGUGUGGCAGAGGAAAGCAUCAUGGCACCAGGAAGCAGACAGAGAGAGAGAGUCUAAGCUCAUCUCACAAAAUAUAUUCACCCAAAGGCACAUCCCCAGUGAUCCACCUCCUCCAGCCACACCCUACUUGCAUAUAGUCACAGCUGCCUGAUGGGGACUAACUCAGGGACUAAGUUAAGGUUCUUAUAACCCCAUCAUUUCACCUCUGAAGUUUCUUGCGUUGUCCCAUACAAGAGCCAAGAUUCAAGGAACAUCCGGGUAGGAACAGUGAUAAUGGACUUGGAAAGCUUGAACUAUGUUUUCAAAAUAGAAAGAAGUUCAUGGGCCAAAUGAAGAGUUCUGUCUUCUAUGUGUGAUUUGUGGUCAGGCCCAUCCACUCCGUGCUCAGCUGAUCACUAGCUCUGUGACGGUGAGCAGGUGGCUCCUCUCUGUGAGCUUCAGGGUCCUUCUCAUCUGUGAAAGGGGAUGACAAUACUACCUACCUCAGUAGGAGGUUGCAAGAUGCAAUGAGAUGAAUCACCUAAGGUGUUGUGUCUGCCUAAAACUAAAAAAUAAAUAUUAAGAAUUAAAAAAAAAAAAAAAAAAGAAACGAGCCCAGUGUUUGGCACAGAAUAUUCAAUGAAUGUUAGUUUAACAUCAGUCUGAAUUUUUUCUCCUUCAUUAAUAUAUAGUCGUUUCUUCAUGUAAUGCCAGUUUUUGCUAAAACUGUCUUGUUCCACAGAGUGAUCCAGGGCCCUAUUUUCAGUCUGCACAAGGAGAUUAGCUGUCCUUCCAAAAAGCAUUCAGGUCCCCACACUGGGCAGGGAGGGCCCCACUAUGCCACCUGUGUGUUUGUCACAUUGAAAAUACACCCACAUAAAAAGAGCAUCAGGACAAGAGGAAUUCCUCAACUGUUUUUGCCUUCUAAUACUUGGAGCUUUACAUAUAUGUGCCCUUUACAAAUAUUAAGUCAUUUCUUCUGUAUAUAAUUUCAUCACAUAAAUUUGAUUAUUAUCCCUAUUUUACACUCAAGGAAAUGGAGGGACUGAAGGUCAGGUCACUUCCUGAGAUAACACAGCCGGUGUGGGCAGUGAAGCCAGGAUUUAAAUCAGACAUUCUGACUCCAGUCUCUGACCUAUGAAGUAGCCUGCUGUGUGUGGGCAUGUGCCUGGUGGACGGAUGGACACACACACACACACACACACACACACACACACACACUGCAUAGCUUUUACUUUCCAUUACGCUGACUUUCACUGUUCCUGAAAAUGUGUGAUGGUCCUAGCUUUAUAUUUUUCUUUUUCCUUUUUUUGUCUUCCUCCUUCCCUCCUUCCCUCUCUCCCUCUCUUUCUCUCUUCCAAGGAUGGAACCCAGUCCUUGUUAUCUGAGCGGUGCUCUGCCACUGAGCCACACCCUAGCCUGCCUAGAUGAUUUCCUAUGCAAUCACUCAUGGAGUGGUGGAGUGGGAAGGAGGGGUUGGGGGGCUCACGGGGACAGGUCUCUGCUACCUCUUCAGGGAGGCAGAGAGUGACCAGCAGGGUGGAGUUGCCAUCUCUAGAUAGUUCUGCCCUCGGUCCUUAUCUCCACUCUCAGCUGAAGCUGACCAGCCUGAGGUAGUGAGGGAGAGUUGUUGAGGACCAGCUCCCAGAUGAGCAGGGAGGGAGGGAAAGGGAACUUGAGAAUGCUAAGGUCAAAUAUGGUGAGGAAAGAGCCUAAGGUGACAGAGAAGGGUGCGGGGAGAGGGUCUGCCCCCCCUGGGGAAAAACAUUCAGUGGCCAUAUCACCACUUCCCAGGGCUCUGCAAAUUGUCUGUGCCCAGCGAGACAGGAAGGCAGCUCUGCAGAGGAAACCAGGGCCCCCUCAGCACUCCAGCCCCUCUGGAGUUAGGUCCCAGCUCCUGGGCCAGUUAUAAAGACACUUCGCCACUGUGCUUGGGAAGAUGGAGUGACAGUGAAGGAUCUAGUAGUCGGAAGACUCCAGAAGCCCAAAGCUGGCUCCAGCUGGACAGACCUGGUAGAUAUGCACAGACGGAUGCCAUUUUUGCCAGGCCCUGAACUGUGAGAGGGUUACUUUGAUUUGCUGCCAUUGUGUGGGAAAAACUGUCAGGAACGGCCGUGGAGAGGCAGAGAGGUUGGGAAGCUCUUUAGGAGGGAACAAGGAGAAAGCUGGAGGCCAAAUGAUUGAGAGGGACAGGAGACGACACAGGUGGCCCCAAGCAGUGUGGAAAACAGAAGCUACUGACUGCAGUAGGGAAUGGGGCGGAGGAGGGGAGCUUUGGUCAGCUGUGUGUCACUGACACAAAAUACGUGAUGAGAACAACUUAGAGGAGGAAAGUUGAUGUGGGGCUCAACCUUCCAGAGUUUCAGUCCAUAGACAGCCGUGGUCACUGUAUUUGAGCCCAGUGUGAGGCAAACACCAUGGCCAAAGCUGCCCAGCUCGUGGUGGCCAGGGUGGGGCAGGGGUCACAGUGAAGAUGCACCCUUCCAGGCCUUGCUCCCUGUGACCCACCUGCCUCCAGUGACCACCCAGUCAGUCCAUUCAAACCAGGAUGGACUGAUGAGGCUACAGCCCUCACAAUCCAGUCAUCUCACCCUGGAAUAUUCCUGCAUUAACACGGCUGUUUUGCAUCUAAGCCCUAACAAGGAGGGAUCCUGGGACCCACCACAAUGACAAAGUGAUUGUGAAGUCUGGUACUAUGGGAGAAAGAAAGGCAGGGUUGUGCAAAAUCCUAGAGUCUUAGGUUAUGUUUUUGGUAAUUCUCCCACUGGUUUUUUUUUUUUCUCCUGACACUGGGAGGUUGAACCUGGGCAUUUUACCACUGAGCUACGUCCCCAAUCCUUUUUAUUUUUUAUUUUGAGACAAGGUCUCACUAAUUUGUUGAUGCUGGCCUCAAACUUGCAAUCCUCCUGCCUCAGCCUCCCAAGUAGCUGGGAUUAUACACCACUGUGGCUGGCUUCCCCACUAGUGUUUCUAUACUGACUAAACUGUUGGAAUGGGAGCAAAGCAGGAACAAAAUGUCACUUUCUUCAGGGGUAGUAGGUGAGGAAGAGUUGGGGGUGGUAUGGGGCCGUGAGGCUGCACAGUGACCCUUAAGUGGACAGUUUUAUGUAUUCACUUGUUUUUAGCACAGGCUGGUAGGGCUUCAGCUAACAGCCUGCCAGUCCCUCCUCUGUUUACCUUGCCAUGAGGACAGUGCCAGGGAGACUCUCGAGGGCUUCCAGUACAUUUUUGAAUUGGCUGUUUCUCAUUACCUCACCCCAGUGAGAAGAUGGAUUUCUCAACCACCCACUGCCAGUAGGUGAACUUGGAAUGCCCUAGUGACUCCGGGUGAGCAGGUAGCAGCAGGACGGUGGCUUUGGUUGCUUCACUGUCUGAUUCUCGGAGAUUCAUAGAAAUGCUAAUCUGGAGUGGUUGCCAUUCUUGGUGAAAGGUCAGGUCCAGGUGGGACUCCCCACAAAUCCUGGAGCAAGCACCCUUUCUUGUCUCAGUGGUGGAGGCCCCGAUUCAACCCCCAGCACCAAGAAAAUAAAAACAAAAACCAAUCAUAACCUUUCUUAUUAUAGAAAAUUGUAUUUGUGCUAGGUGCAGUGCCUGUGGUCUCAGCUACUCAGGAGGCUGAGGCAGGAGGAUUGCUUGGGCUCAGGAGUUCAAAGCCAGUCUAGACAACCC
rnacentral:lncRNA from 1 species